rnacentral:lncRNA from 10 species
UCCAGUCAAGGGAAUGAAGAACAGAGGAAUGGAGGAAGGAUAAGGGGAAACAGCUAUUUGGAAGCAGAGAAAACAAAUUGAGGCCAGAUCAUGGUGGGCCUUAAAUACCAUGAAACAAGUUUUAAUUAAAAAAUUUUUUUUUCAGGCUAAGGCUUGAAAAGACAUUUGUCUAAAGAUGAUAUACAAAUGACCAACAACAUAUGAAAGGAUGCUCAAUAUCACUAAUCAUGAGAGAAAUGCAAAUCAAAACUACAGUGAGAUAUCACAUCAUACUCAUUAGAUUGACUCCUAUACAGAAAGUAGAAAAUAACAAGUGCUGGUAAGGAUGUGGAGAAAUUGGAGCCCUUGUGCACUGUUAGUAGGACUGUAAAAUAGUGCAGCAGCUAGGAAAAACAGGAUGGAGAUUCUACACACACACAAAUAAAAACUCAGCAAUUCACUUCUAGGUAUAUAUCCAAAAGAACUGAAAACAUGGUCUCAAAGAGAUAAUCGUACAACCAUAUUCACACAGCACUAUUCACAAUAGCCAAGAGGCUGAAGCAACCCAAGUAAAUGAUUAGGCAAAAUAUGGUAUAUACAUGUACAGGACUGUUAUUCAGCUUUAAAAAGGAAGGAAGUUCUAUCACAUGCUACAACAUGGGGGAAUCUUGUGGACAUUAUGCUAAAUGAAAUAAGCCAGUCACAAAAAAGCAAAUACUGUAUAAUUCCACUUAUAUAAUGUAUCCAAAGUUGUCAAAUUCAUAGAAACAAAGUAGACUGGUGGUUAGUUGGAACUAGGGGUUGGAGAAAAAGGAGAGUUUAAUGGACAUAGAGUUUCAGAUCUGCCAGAUAAAGUUCUGAACAUCUGCUUCAUAACAAUAUGAAUAUAGUUAACAUUACUGAACUGUACACAUAAAAAUGUUAAAGAUGGUAAAUUUUAUGUUAUGUGUUUUUUACCAAAAUAAAAAAGAAUUCAGUAACUUAAGUCCUCAAAAUAUUUAUGCUGCUUUGUAAUAAACUUCUAAGGGGUUGUGUGUGUAUAUGUGUAUGUGCAUGUGCAUGUGUGUAUGUGUGUCAGGUUGUAAAAUAUAUGUAUAGAAGGUCCCUGCCUUAUGAGAGUUUGACCUACGAUUUUUCAACUUUGCCAUUGUGUGGAAGUGAUAUGCAUCCAGUAGAAACUGUACUUCCAGUUUCCAAUUUUGAACUUUGAUCUUUUCCUGGGCUAGAGAUAUGCAGUAUGAUACUCUCUUGCACUGCUAGGCAGCAUCAGUGAGCCUCAGUUCCCAGUCAGCCACUGAUCAGAAGGGUAAACAACUAAUACUCUACAGUGCACUAUGAUGCUAGAUGAUUUUGCCCACCUGUAGGCUAAUGUAAUGCAACCGAGCACAUUUAAGGUAGGCGAGACUAAACUAUGAUGUUUGGCAGGUUAGGUAUAUUAAAUGUACUUUUGAUUCAUGAUAUUUUCAACUUACUAUGUGUUUAUCAAAAUGUAACCCCCUCUUAGGUCAAGGAGCAUCUGUAGCUGCUUGGAUCUACAUUAACCUCAUUUAUCUAUACCCUACCUAUGUGAGUCUUGGAAACUUGUCUCAUAUAAACAAUGAGCUAGCCUAAAAAAGGGGACUUUGACAAUUGCUUCAUCGGUCUUUGUCACUCUGGAAAUAUCAGCAUCUGCAUGUUGAAAAAGGUCUCAUUAUAUUAGCUUUCCAUAAGCUGUCACCUGAUUAUAAGACCUCUUUUGCACCUUCCCAGGUGAGUCAUCAGAAAAUUCUUUAGUUUUAUACAUUUGUAGGUCCAAUGCAUUUUAAUUAAAUUUAAUCUGAGACAAAUUAUGUAACUUUAAAUAUUAUUAACUUUGGAAUCCUUGUUUAUAACACAACUAUAAUUGUUUAUUUUUCUUUUGCUUUUUAGAACUUUCCUGCUAUGUUUAUCUGAGUUUUGUGGUAACAUACGAGACUUACCUUUGAAUGUAUAAAACUGGCUAGUUUUACAUGAUCUGAACUUGAGAAGCGGUUUCUUAGGUUUCAAGACAACAUGCUAAAUACAUAGGACCAUCUACUGGCAAAGGAUGAUAUAGUCCUAAGGACUGGUUUUGUUGGAACUUGUAAUAGCCCAAGUUAAAGAUCAUGAAGAUUGUGAAGCCCAAAAGUGUAUUAUUGAGGGAAUCCUGCUGCCAGAAUAUGCUUAUCACUUAAAUUGCAACAGAGUGGUCUUAGAUAGAAAAUACAAGAGCUGAGAAGAUACUACAAAACAAGUAAGUCAUUUAUAUGGAGUCACAACAUCUAACUGGCAUACAUUUGUUUAAUAUUGAUAUAGUAAAAUAUUUCAUGAGGGCUCUGACAAGGACUGUCUUGUUAAUCUCUGAAUCCCUAGCAUAGCAACUGGUACAUGGAAGUGUCAACAAGUAUUUACUGAAUCAGUGAAUGAAUAAUGACAACCAGGGCCUCAAAACUUUUGAAAAUUUGCCUUAUAUUCUCCCUCUCCCAUAGGACCACACCCAUAAUUUAAAAUAAAAAAAAUACAAAGUGUAACAUAAGUUCCCUUUUUAGAUGAAAAGUGCAUCUAUCUGUUUGGUUAACCAGAAACCUUGAGUCAGUAAAAAUUAUACUUAAUAUUUACGUUAAAAAUAGUAAUAAUGAAAAAUGACCUAAACUAAUUAAAAGAAGGUUAUGUGGACUUGCAUAGGCUUUAUAAUCAAAUAUUGCUCAUGUCAAAUUUCAGCUCUAUAGUUUGGGUAUUGUAUGAGGUUGGAUUAAUUACUUAACCUUUCUCUCCUCAUUUUCCUCUUUUAUUAAAUUAGCAUUUUGUUUAUACCCUACAAAGAUUUGGUGAAGUCUGUAAAUGCAAUGAUUUGUGCCUACUUGGUAAGUACUAAUAAUAAAUCCAGCUGUUGACUUUUUGUCUGACUGAGGGCAUUCAUUUUCCUAAUUUUCAAUGGUCACAAGCAUCUUCGGACAGGGACCAAAUUUUAUUUAGUAAUAGAACUUAGCACAGUGCCUGGCAUAGGUAGAUACUUAUUAAAUGUGUUGUAUUAAUAAAGAAAAUUAAUAUUUAAAUA